AUUUAUGUAUGGUAUGAGGAGGCAUGGUUGUAAAGAUGCUUUUUUUAUUCUUCCUGCCUUUAUUUUUGCUUUCCUUUUUUCCCCAAAUAGAUAUUUAAGCUUUCCAUCACUAUUCGUUAAACAGACUUCUUUUUUCUAUUGAAUGGCUUUUGCAAGUUGAUUGAAAUCCAAUUAAUCAUGUACAGUUCGGUUUAUUUCUGAUAUCUCUGUUCUAUCAAUCUCUUUUCUAGACAUGUGGACUAGUUCUUGUAAUAUGGUGGCACUUUUUAGACUUAAGAAGAGUGAAGAGAGUGGGGAAUGUUUAGUGGAAGAACGUAUCCUGUGAAAUUCAGGAGCCACAUCAUCUAAACUGUUAUGCCUAUUGCUUGAGGGUACAAUAUACGUGAGGAAGAGCAGAAGAAGCAAUAUCAGUGAGGGGGCUAAUGCAACAAUCCUUCAGAGAUGACAGUUGCCGGAAUCCAGGUGGUAAGAAUGAGAAUCAAAUUUUGUACGUAUUUUGGAAAGGUAGAACUAUUAGAAUUUGUGGAAGGCAUGGAUAUAGUUGUGGGAAAUAGAGAGGAGUCAAGGAUGACUUGAAGAAUUUUGGUCCAUUCAAAUGGAGUUACCAUUGACUAUAAUAAAGAAUAGUGCAGGAAGUGCUGAUUUGGGAAUUAUUCUCAGAGGCUCAGUUUUGGACACAUUAAUUUUUGUAUGCCUUUUAGCCCUCACGCAAUUGCAUAUAUGAGUCGGGAGAGGGGUCUAGGCUGUAGACACAAAUUUUAGAGUAGUAUACACAUACAUGUACGUGUAUGUGUGUGUGGGCGCAUGUGUUAUCAUAUAUUUUGAGUUGAAUUGUGCGUGUCCAAAAUCAUAUAUUGAAGCCUUCACAUCCAGUGCCUCAGAAUGUGACUGUAUUUGGGAUAGAUGUAAUUAAGGUAAAAAGGGUAAGAUGGGCCCAAUCCAGUAGAUUGGUGCCUUUAUAAGAAAAGGAAAUUUGGACAUUAGACAUACACAUGCACAGAGGAAAGACUAUGUAAAGACAGAGAGAAAGCUAUCUACAAUCUAUGGAGGGCAGUCUAAAAAAAUAAAAAAUAAAAACCAAAGCAAAACAAAUCACAAAACUCUGCUAACACUGUGAUCUCAGACUCCUUGCCUCCAGAACUCUUAGAAAAUAA
rnacentral:lncRNA from 1 species